GAUCUGGUGGUGUAGUGUUUACACGUGCGCUAGAUGUGUGUGACGCAGAGGCUCCUCGUUCGAAUCGAGGCUAGGUCA